AGCCUUGAGGUGUUUACAUAUAAGAUUGCAAAUCUUAAGUAGCAGAGUAGUAUCUGCCGGGGCUU
rnacentral:tRNA from 1 species